AAUAUGAUUAUAAGGAGAGAUGGUUGGCAUCUGCCGUGACAGGAACGGAAGCAGCCUUCGCGCUUACCUGUUACACCACAAACCAUGGAUAAAGGCAAAACAGCAAAACUUGUAUACGAUGUUUUAU
rnacentral:ncRNA from 1 species